rnacentral:misc_RNA from 1 species
UUUCCGUAGGUGAACCUGCGGAAGGAUCAUUACAGAGUUCAUGCCCUCCAAGGUAGACCUCCCACCCUUGAGUACUAUACUUUUGUUGCUUUGGCAGGCCCGUCAGGUCCACGCCUGGCUACCGGCUCCGGCUGGUAAGUGUCUGCCAGAGGACCUAAACUCUGAAUUUUACGUCGUCUGAGUACUAUAUAAUAGUUAAAACUCUCAACAACGGAUCUCUUGGUUCUG